rnacentral:ribozyme from 12 species
UUAUGGGAAGAUGCAGCACGGAGUUGGAUCCUUCCAUGUCAUUAUAGUUCUCUUUUUCCCCUUACUUUUUCUUCCAGUUUUAUCUUUUUAUUCUAUUUCACGAGGGUCUGGAUGCUGGAACAAGCAGGCAACAACAAAAGUGUCCCUCGCAAACAGAAAUGACGAAUAUUUAUUAAGUAGUCCUUCCAGCAAUAAAGACAAAGACU